rnacentral:rRNA from 1 species
UAGGGAAUCUUCGGCAAUGGACGAAAGUCUGACCGAGCAACGCCGCGUGAGUGAAGAAGGUUUUCGGAUCGUAAAACUCUGUUGUUAGAGAAGAACAAGGACGUUAGUAACUGAACGUCCCCUGACGGUAUCUAACCAGAAAGCCACGGCUAACUACUUGCCAGCAGCCGCGGUAAUACGUUGGUGUCAAGCGUUGUCCGGCUUUAUUUGGCGUAAAGCGAGCGCAGGCGGUUUCUUAAGUCUGAUGUGAAAGCCCCCGGCUCAACCGGGGAGGGUCAUUGGAAACUGGGAGACGUGAGUGCAGAAGAGGAGAGUGGAAGUCCAUGUGUAGCGGUGAAAUGCGUAGAUAUAUGGAGGAACACCAGUGGCGAAGGCGGCUCUCUGGUCUGUAACUGACGCUGAGGCUCGAAAGCGUGGGGAGCAAACAGG